rnacentral:tRNA from 1 species
GACCGCAUAGCUCAGUUGACAGAGCAUUGGCAUUUGGACUAGUAUUCCAAAGGUCGUAGGUUCAAAUCCCACCGUGGCCA